GAUGAACGCUGGCGGCGUGCCUAAUACAUGCAAGUCGAGCGAACAGACGAGGAGCUUGCUCCUCUGACGUUAGCGGCGGACGGGUGAGUAACACGUGGAUAACCUACCUAUAAGACUGGGAUAACUUCGGGAAACCGGAGCUAAUACCGGAUAAUAUAUUGAACCGCAUGGUUCAAUAGUGAAAGACGGUUUUGCUGUCACUUAUAGAUGGAUCCGCGUCGCAUUAGCUAGUUGGUAAGGUAACGGCUUACCAAGGCAACGAUGCGUAGCCGACCUGAGAGGGUUAUCGGCCACACUGGAACUGAGACACGGUCCAGACUCCUACGGGAGGCAGCAGUAGGGAAUCUUCCGCAAUGGGCGAAAGCCUGACGGAGCAACGCCGCGUGAGUGAUGAAGGUCUUCGGAUCGUAAAACUCUGUUAUUAGGGAAGAACAAAUGUGUAAGUAACUAUGCACGUCUUGACGGUACCUAAUCAGAAAGCCACGGCUAACUACGUG
rnacentral:rRNA from 1 species